CAAGAAGUAGUUUAAUUGUAAAAUAUUAAUUUUGGAGAUUAAUGAUAAAGGAUUUCUUUUUUCUUGA
rnacentral:tRNA from 1 species